AAUCAACGCUGGCGGCGUGCCUCAGACAUGCAAGUCGAACGAUUAAGGCUCUCUUCGGAGAGUGUAUAGAGUGGCGCACGGGUGAGUAACACGUAAGUAAUCUACCCUCGAGUGGGGAAUAACAACCGGAAACGGUUGCUAAUACCGCAUAAUGCAGCGGCACCGCAAGGUGACAGUUGUUAAAGAUUUAUCGCUUGAGGAGGAGCUUGCGGCAGAUUAGCUAGUUGGUAGGGUAACGGCUUACCAAGGCUACGAUCUGUAACCGGUCUAAGAGGACGGUCGGUCACACUGACACUGAAUAACGGGUCAGACUCCUACGGGAGGCAGCAGUCGGGAAUUUUGGGCAAUGGGCGAAAGCCUGACCCAGCAACGCCGCGUGAAGGAUGAAGUAUUUCGGUAUGUAAACUUCGAAAGAAUAGGAAGAAUUAAUGACGGUACUAUUUAUAAGGUCCGGCUAACUACGUG
rnacentral:rRNA from 1 species